UGUCGCCUUCAUUUCCGCGUUAUUUCCCAGCGUUCCUAUGGAUUAGAGGAGCUCUUCUUGAAGCUUAUCGACAACUUUUUCACUUGCAUAUCAUGCUAUUACCAUUCUAAUGGUGCUCCCGGGGAGGACAUAUAGCCGCAAGCGUCGAUAACUUGACUAGAUUAUGUUGAAUCUCGUUGGAAACUGUGAAUUUAGCGGAUUCAGAAAUUGUUAGGCUGGUCCGGCUAACGUUAGUUAGGAAGCUAUCACUUGGGCCGGCGGUGUUUGUACUGAAUAAAACCAUGGCAGAUGCGAACGGUGGAGACAGGACGGACGAAAAAGAGUUGAAGGGGGCAACAGGUGGUGAAGAUGUCAUGGAUGAUGUGAUCAUUGAACAGAGUGCUGUUUUACUGAGAGGGUAUGUUAUUGAACGAGUUACUGUAGAGGAUCCAUCCAUGCAUGUGAGCCAUGAGGAUCUAGGAGGAAGACCUCAGGAUGCAGAUGAUCCUCAAAUCAAAGAGGUUGUAGAUCAGCUUUUGAAGAUAGCCGAUGACCUUAACAAGAAUGCUGAACUUCAACAUCUCAUCAGCACUGUGCAAGCAAAUUGUGCUCAGGACGUCUUCGUGACUGUGGCCAGAAGCAUCUUUGAGGAUGGAAUUAACUGGGGACGUGUGGUGGCUCUGUUUCACCUCGCGUACAGACUCAUUUACCAGGCUCUGACUCAGAACCACUUUGACAUUAUCAGGAGGAUCAUUAGCUGGGUUUUACAGUUUAUCAGGGAAAACAUUUCUGCCUGGAUCAGACAGCAAGGAGGAUGGUACCGACAGGAAUUGUUGGUGGGGGAGUGAAUGAACAGUGCUCUUUUCCACCCUCAGUACCCAUAACUGAGGGGCCCUUGAGCAAGGCACCUAACCUCCCCGGGCGCCACAGCAAAAAUGGCUACCCACUGCUCCAGGAGGGCAUUUUCCGCAGCGUGUCAAGAUGGCGUACUGUGUCUUGCAUCGCUGCGAUGGCAUUCAUUGUAGCUGUUGUUUACUGGAGAAGAACGCGCUAAUAUAAGUGAAAUAUGUGCCAGAUUGAUUUUUCUCACAAAUGUGCAAACUCGUAUCAAAAUGCAAUACAGUGUGUGUAAGUGGUGCAAUCAUGUGGACCAAUCACAGUCAUGCUUCAUGCCUUGCUAUGGUUAAAGACUUAAACAGAAACAGCCUCUCCAAAAGACACUGUAGCCUUUUAGAUUUUUUUUUUAAACAUUCCCUGUCGGCUGUUGUUGGGUCUUUUGCUUCUAUUUCAGCUGAGUCCAUCUUUCGCCUUGAUUUAUUUAUUUAAGGGAUGUGUUGCUGUACUCCAAGAUUUUUAAGACACUGCACUUUUUCUCCACCAGUGCCUUUUACUCUGUGACUUCUUUCUGGCUCAGGUAUCAAUUUUUUAAUGUGCCACAUAACAUACCAGCCCUACCUCGAAUUAGCUAAAUAUCUGAGGCUAACUGUUUACCAGAUGUUUUUUAAAUGAUUAUAUUAGGAAUAAGGGACAGGGCUGAAAAAGAAAAAAUUUUAACCUUUUUUUAAGAACGGUUAACCUCAACAGAGGUUUAAAAUGCAGUUUAAGUGGUGGAAAUGACCGAAAGGUUUAGCAUGUUAUUGGUGAAAUACAGUGAAUGUGGAAAAUAAUCCUUGCACACCUUAAAAUAAACAUGACAAUGAAUUAC